AGUAUGGUGUGAAUCUCCCGCUUACUGGGAGAGUGCGCUAUAGACUGUGGGACUAGAGUGUGAGGAGAGAAAGUAGAAUUCCUGGUGUAGCGGUGAAAUGCGUAGAUAUCAGGAAGAACACCGGUGGUGUAAACGGCUUUCUGGACCAUAACUGACGCUGAGGCACGAAAGCGUGGGUAGCAAACAGGAUUAGAUACCCUGGUAGUCCACGCCCUAAACGAUGCAUAUUUGGUGUGGGUCAUUCAGUUGAUCCGUGCCGGAGCUAACGCGUUAAAUAUGCCGCCUGGGGAGUACAGUCGCAAGGCUGAAACUCAAAGGAAUUGACGGGGGCCCGCACAAGCGGUGGAGCAUGUGGUUUAAUUCGACGCAACGCGAAGAACCUUACCUGGGCUCGAAAUGCUAUGGACCAGCUUAUGAAAGUAGGCCUUCCCGCAAGGGACCGUAGUAUAGGUGCUGCAUGGCUGUCGUCAGCUCGUGUCGUGAGAUGUUGGGUUAAGUCCCGCAACGAGCGCAACCCUUGUCCUGUGUU
rnacentral:rRNA from 1 species